GAUGUGGGAGCCAUGCGUUUUGUCUAACGUCUGGGGAGGAUUCUCGGUGUGUGUGCAACCCAGGAUACUUUUGGAACGGAGCAUCGUGUGAAAAAUUUCCAGAUGUUGCUGGAGUGGAAUUCACCCUUGAGGCCCUGGAAUGGGAUGCUGAAUACUUAGACAUCACGAGCGAUCGGUUUAGGAGGAUUUCUAGCAUUCUAGUAGACAAGAUUUCCGAGUACUUUACCUCUAGCCGUGGAUUGAGCGCGAUUUUCGGCAGCGCCACAGUGCUCAACUUUUACGAAGGCAGUGUCAUAUCUACGGUGCUCCUCAACUUUAGUACACCCUGCGUGGAAAAGGAAGAGGUUUCUGGUCUCCUGAACGACGCAGUCGCUGCCGACAGCAACAACACACUCGGCAUCGCUCUACGGACUG